AGCUAGUUGGUGGGGUAACGGCCUACCAAGGCGAUGAUGGGUAGCUGGUCUGAGAGGACGAUCAGCCACACUGGGACUGAGACACGGCCCAGACUCCUACGGGAGGCAGCAGUGAGGAAUUUUCCGCAAUGGGCGCAAGCCUGACGGAGCAACGCCGCGUGUGUGAUGAAGUCCUUCGGGAUGUAAAGCACUGUCCGAGGGGAUGAACAAAUGACAGUACCCUCGAAGAAAGCCCCGGCUAACUACGUGCCAGCAGCCGCGGUAAUACGUAGGGGGCAAGCGUUAUCCGGAUUUACUGGGCGUAAAGGGCGUGUAGGUGGUUGCGUGAGUUGGUUGUGAAAUCUCCCGGCUCAACUGGGAAACUGCAGCUAAAACUGCGUGGCUAGAGUGGCAGAGAGGAAAGUGGAAUUCCCGGUGUAGUAGUGAAAUGCGUAGAUAUCGGGAGGAACACCAGCGGCGAAGGCGACUUUCUGGCUGCCAACUGACACUGAAACGCGAAAGCUAGGGUAGCGAACGGGAUUAGAUACCCCGGUAGUCCUAGCCGUAAACGAUGCACGCUAGGUGUUGGUCGUAUUGACGCGAUCAGUGCCGAAGCUAACGCAUUAAGCGUGCCGCCUGGGGAGUACGGUCGCAAGAUUAAAACUCAAAGGAAUUGACGGAAUCGAAUU
rnacentral:rRNA from 1 species